GGACGGGUGAGUAACACGUGGGCAACCUGCCUGUAAGACUGGGAUAACUUCGGGAAACCGAAGCUAAUACCGGAUAGGAUCUUCUCCUUCAUGGGAGAUGAUUGAAAGAUGGUUUCGGCUAUCACUUACAGAUGGGCCCGCGGUGCAUUAGCUAGUUGGUGAGGUAACGGCUCACCAAGGCAACGAUGCAUAGCCGACCUGAGAGGGUGAUCGGCCACACUGGGACUGAGACACGGCCCAGACUCCUACGGGAGGCAGCAGUAGGGAAUCUUCCGCAAUGGACGAAAGUCUGACGGAGCAACGCCGCGUGAGUGAUGAAGGCUUUCGGGUCGUAAAACUCUGUUGUUAGGGAAGAACAAGUACGAGAGUAACUGCUCGUACCUUGACGGUACCUAACCAGAAAGCCMCGGCUAACUACGUGCCAGCA
rnacentral:rRNA from 1 species